rnacentral:rRNA from 1 species
GAUGAACGCUGGCGGCGUGCCUAACACAUGCAAGUCGAACGGAAAGGCCCUGCUGUUGUGGGUUGCUCGAGUGGCGAGCGGGUGAGUAACACAUGUGUAUCCUGCCCCUGACUUUGGGAUAAAUCCAAGAAACAGCGGAGAAUACCGGAUAGGAUCUCCUGCUGCACAGUGGGGGUUGGAAAGUGUCGGCGGUACGGGAUGGACUCGCGGGUUAUCAGCUAGUUGGUGUAGUAGUGGCUUACGAAGCCUUAGACGGAUAGCCGGCCUGGGAGGCUGGCCGGCCACAUUGCGACUGAGGUACGGAGCAGAAUGCAACGGGAGGCAGCAGGGGCGAGUAUUGCGAAGUGGGCGGGAGUGUGAUGCGAAGGCGCCGCGUGCGUGAAGACGUGCUUCGAGUGGUAAACAGCUUUCAACUGUGACGUAGCGUGAGUGACGGUACCUGAUAAAGAAGCACCGGCUAACUACGUG